rnacentral:rRNA from 1 species
AUUGAACGCUGGCGGCAGGCCUAACACAUGCAAGUCGAGCGGAUGAAGGGAGCUUGCUCCUGGAUUCAGCGGCGGACGGGUGAGUAAUGCCUAGGAAUCUGCCUGGUAGUGGGGGAUAACGUCCGGAAACGGGCGCUAAUACCGCAUACGUCCUGAUGGAGAAAGUGGGGGAUCUUCGGCCCUCACGCUAUCAGAUGAGCCUAGGUCGGAUUAGCUAGUUGGUGGGGUAAAGGCCUACCAAGGCGACGAUCCGUAACUGGUCUGAGAGGAUGAUCAGUCAGACUGGAAGUGAGACACGGUCCAGACUCCUACGGGAAGAAGCAGUGGGGAAUAUUGGACAAUGGGCGAAAGCCUGAUCCAGCCAUGCCGCGUGUGUGAAGAAGGUCUUCGGAUUGUAAAGCACUUUAAGUUGGGAGGAAGGGCAGUAAGUUAAUACCUUGCUGUUUUGACGUUACCAACAGAAUAAGCACCGGCUAACUUCGUG